rnacentral:rRNA from 1 species
GCUGGCGGCGUGCCUAAUACAUGCAAGUCGCGCGAACGGACGAGAAGCUUGCUUUUCUGAUGUUAGCGGCGGACGGGUGAGUAACACGUGGAUAACCUACCUAUAAGACUGGGAUAACUUCGGGAAACCGGAGCUAAUACCGGAUAAUAUUUUGAACCGCAUGGUUCAAAAGUGAAAGACGGUCUUGCUGUCACUUAUAGAUGGAUCCGCGCUGCAUUAGCUAGUUGGUAAGGUAACGGCUUACCAAGGCAACGAUGCAUAGCCGACCUGAGAGGGUGAUCGGCCACACUGGAACUGAGACACGGUCCAGACUCCUACGGGAGGCAGCAGUAGGGAAUCUUCCGCAAUGGGCGAAAGCCUGACGGAGCAACGCCGCGUGAGUGAUGAAGGUCUUCGGAUCGUAAAACUCUGUUAUUAGGGAAGAACAUAUGUGUAAGUAACUGUGCACAUCUUGACGGUACCUAAUCAGAAAGCCACGGCUAACUACGUG